UACGUAGGUGGCAAGCGUUAUCCGGAUUUACUGGGUGUAAAGGGCGUGUAGGCGGGUCUGCAAGUCAGAUGUGAAAUUCCCGGGCUUAACUCGGGAGGGUCAUCUGAAACUGCGGAUCUUGAGUACUGGAGAGGAUAGUGGAAUUCCUAGUGUAGCGGUAAAAUGCGUAGAUAUUAGGAGGAACACCAGUGGCGAAGGCGGCUAUCUGGACAGUAACUGACGCUGAGGCGCGAAAGCGUGGGGAGCAAACAGG
rnacentral:rRNA from 1 species